GUGCCGCCCCUGCCACAGCGCACUAGGAUUUGUUCUUUGCGCAGACAACUGGAGAGGCAGAAGCCUGGGGGCAUACGUUCUCCCCAGCCCCCCUUCCCACUCUUCCUGACAUAUGCGCCCUUGCCCUGGCGGCAGGUAGACUUCAGACCCUUCUCUUCAUUGGUCUCAACCUAGCUACAGACUGAGUUCACUCAGCCACUUCUUUGCCAACUAAGGAUCCUGCCCUUAAGGAACCUACUGGGUGACAUCGCCCAAGAGGUGCAAGAACCCGAAGCUCUGGGUCACACAGGUCUCCUGGGUCAAACAGCUCUCUGUUUUCCCAGGGACAUGGAGGGGCUCACGGUUCAGGAUGGCUAGUGGGGCACUCAUUUACCUCCUCCAACCAAAUCCAAGUGGAUCCAGAAAGGAAAUAGUUUGGCAGUCCCAGAGCAGCAUGGGAAAGGUGAGAAAUGGAAAACUAGGGAAAGAAUCUGCAUAAGACAUAAAGAUCAUGGGACAGAUGGACAAUGAAACCUCAGACCAAGGGACCUGCACCACAUGCAGGAGGGAAAGGAGGCCCAAACACCUGAGCCUUCCUAGGAGGACAGCACUAGGUGAGAGGCUGCAGUGUGGGCACAGGCCAAGAACAUCUGGGUAAUUAACAGCAUCAGGGUGAGCAGAUUGACUGUGCCCCACCCUCCCUCCACCAAACACCACUUGGCAUUGAAUUCCAUGUUUGCCUGGAGGUCAAGGUGCAAGAACAGCUAAAUGGAGUUCUGAAACUGCAUGGUAGGCCAGAGAAAAAGGGCAGCACCCCAGGCAACUUAAGGAUCCCAUGGGGAAGCAGAACCCUUUACUCAGAAAAUCAGAUCCACCAGUGCCUCCUGGCCACAGGCCUCUUUCACUUGCCCACACGUCACAAUCACUGUAGACAGGGUUCUCCAGCACAAAGCUUUCAUGCAUGGCUAAGCCAACAGGAAUUCCCACUUAGCCUGAGGAAGGACAUUCUAGGAAACAAUUUUGUCCAUAUCCCUCCCCCCACCAUCUUCAAAUAUGAAGAGGCAACAAAGAAACACUAAAAAUGCAAGAAUCCAAUGCACCAAAAGAGAGACACCAAACUCAACAAACAAAAGAACCAACACAGGAGGACGAUGAAGUAAUGCAGUAAACAGAAGAAAAAGGUAAAACCGCUGUAGUUUCUAUUUCCAGGGAAAUUUGAGAGGACAUCAAUUUUUUAAAAGAAAUAGGUUCCCGAGAAAAGGAAAUCUUUUCAGUUUUGGAAAUUGUCAACUUGAUGGGCAAAUUCUGAAACCACUAAUUAAUAGAUUGAAUAAUGAGGGGAAUACAGUGACCUGGAAGUUCAUGACAAAGGAGUUUCCUGGAACCCAGUGCAAAAGCACAAAGAGUUGAAAAGGAAGAAAAGAAAGGACCUCUGAGCUGAAGAAGAUGGAAACGUUUAGACUGCAACAUCCCAGUAGCUUUGGGUAGCAAGGAUGAAAAAUUGGCACAUGCCUGGUGAAAUGUCUAAACUCCAAGAAUGGAGGAUUCUUUUACGGAAGCAGGAGCGGGGAGAGCCACAGUGAUGCCAUUUUAAAUUCGGCUCCAUUUCGACACAAACAGGGACAUUCUUUGCCGGUCGUGACUCAGUCAUAAGAUAAUUACAUCUAGGGACACAGCCUGAAGAUACCUGCAAGGACAUGCUCCUACAACAGCAGAAAGUCCAGAUGUCCCAAUGCCCAUAACAAUAUAUGCUUUCAAAAAAUUAUAGUUAUGCUUUGAUGUACUCACACACGAAGAUGUCAAGGAUAGCUUUCUUAAAUAAAUAGAAUAAUUAUUGUUGUCAUGCUGUCAGCCCAGCCACACGUAGGCACAGCUUAGUUUAGUCUUUACACAGAUAAGACCCCUGUAUAAGAGAAACUUAAGGACGGGGCGGUCCUCUGCUUGCUUUCUGAGGGUGCUCUACUCUGGAAUGGAGGAGGGGUUUUUUUGUUUGUUUUUGUUUUUGUUUUUUGUUUUUUGUGUUUUUUUGAGACAGAGUCUCACUCUGUCGCCCAGGCUGGAGUGCAGUGGCACGACCUCUGCCCACUGCAACCUCUGCCUCCAAGGUUCAAGUGAUUCUCCUGCCUCAGCUUCCUGAGUAGUUGGGAUUACAAGCACGCGAGCCACUAGCCCAGCUAAUUUUUGUAUUUUUAGUAGAAAUGGGGUCUCACCAUGUUGGCCAGGCUGGUCUUGAACUCCUGAACUCAAGUGAUCCACCCGCCUCGGCCUCCCAAAGUUCUGCGAUUACAGGUGUGAGCCACCACGCCAGGCUGGGAAUGGAGGAGUUUUAAUAAACUUGCUUCUUUC
rnacentral:lncRNA from 10 species